UACGUAGGUGGCGAGCGUUGUCCGGAUUUACUGGGCGUAAAGGGAGCGUAGGCGGGCUUUUAAGUGAGAUGUGAAAUACUCGGGCUCAACUUGAGUGCUGCAUAUCAAACUGGAAGUCUAGAGUGCAGGAGAGGAGAAUGGAAUUCCUAGUGUAGCGGUGAAAUGCGUAGAGAUUAGGAAGAACACCAGUGGCGAAGGCGAUUCUCUGGACUGUAACUGACGCUGAGGCUCGAAAGCGUGGGGAGCAAACAGG
rnacentral:rRNA from 1 species